CUAGAACAAAACAAAUCCAGAAUUAAACACAGAGGAAAUCAAAAAUUGGGGAAAAGGUGACUCAGUCAGAAAUUCCCCAACAUUUAUUCAGUAGAACUCACAUGGAAGGAUGGUGAGUCAUAUUUGGAGAAAGAAAACUGGCAAGGAAAGCCCAUAAAAAGCUUCCAAUUGCAGGGGAUAAGAGACAGCAGCUGAAGACUGGAACAUG
rnacentral:lncRNA from 1 species